rnacentral:tRNA from 1 species
GGGCUCGUGGUCUAGCUGGUUAUGACGUCGCCUUGACACGGCGGAGAUCUUGAGUUCGAAUCUCAACGAGCCCA